rnacentral:piRNA from 1 species
UUUAGGGCUCUAAGAAGCUAAUUGCCUCA